AGUCCUGUAGCUCAGUGGUUAGAGCACUCGCCUCGUAAGCGAGAGGACCUGGGUUCGAUUCCCGGCAGGGCGA
rnacentral:tRNA from 1 species